rnacentral:lncRNA from 1 species
CCCACACAGGAGACAGAGGAAUCGACCCCGAGCUCCCAAACUCAGGGGUUUUUAUAGGGGAGUGCAGGGCUAUCUGAGAGGUGCCUGGUCCCAUGCUGCACGGAAGUGAGACAUCCAGGUGACCACUGUGCUGACAAAGCUGGGAUCACAUUGCCAGUCCACCACUGGGAUCUACUCAGUAGUCACGAGAUUCCCCGAAGCUGGGCCUGCUGGGCUCUGUCAGCGUCCAGCAUCCAUCGACGAGCACCCAGGUGUCUCUGCAUCAUCGCCCUGUGAUGCUUCUAAGUCUCACCUACCAGGAUGCUCCUGCAGCAAGGAGGUCAGGCCUUCCAGAGGGCUGCCUGGGGCUUAAGUCGACGGUGGACUUCAUCACCACUACUUUACGGCUGUAGAUGUCCCGCUCUUGUCUUGCACCCCAGCCAAAUCCCAUUACCGACCUGAGGGCCAGGAACAGCAGUGUGUCUAUGCAACUUCCUCCAGGGACAUUUCCGGGCAGCCCAGGUAUGAAAGGCCAUCUUCAGUGUUCCAUGAAUCCCAGUUUAAGAAAGAGCACGUGCGACCUGCCUGACUGGAAUUUGUUUGUGUACAAGAAGAGACGGGGACAGAGACACAGACAGAACCUCACAGUGCAUGGACGUCAAGGAGUCAUCAGGAUGCGAGGCCAGAUCUCCAACCCAGGCUGGCCAGAGUCUCCGGGAGGUCCUCGUUGGUUUUGUCUGAUUAGCUAGCCUGUUCCAGAGGCUGAAGCCAGCACUGAAUCCAUGGAAUGAACUUCCCAGAGUUGUGCAUUAUGGGUUGGGGAACAUGGGGUCUAAUGGUGCCCUUCCUGCCUCUGAGAGGGAUAGGACACUCCUCUCUUCUCAAAUCAGACAGGAAAAAAAUGUCUGUCCUCAGAGAGCUUAGUGUUGCUCAGGGGACAGAGUAGAUAAGAAAGAGGAAUGUGUUUCCCAGGGGCAGAAUACUACUGGGACAGGGUGUUGAACUCAGCAGAUAUCCCAGCAGGGUGACUAUGCCAGGAACCUUGUUGUCCUGUGUUCAAAUUAGGAGAGACCGUUGGUCGGAGGGACCAUCCAUGUCAGUCACACGGGCUUCUGUGUGCCUCAGGCUGUGACAGAUGUUGGCACAGUCUAGGGAGAAAGAACACAGGAGAUGACAUCUUACCAAUGUGACAGUGGGAGGGACAGGGAAA